CCUACGGGAGGCAGCAGUGGGGAAUAUUGGACAAUGGGGGGAACCCUGAUCCAGCCAUGCCGCGUGUGUGAAGAAGGCCCUCGGGUUGUAAAGCACUUUCAGUGAGGAAGAACGCCUGGUGGUUAAUACCCAUCAGGAAAGACAUCACUCACAGAAGAAGCACCGGCUAACUCCGUGCCAGCAGCCGCGGUAAUACGGAGGGUGCGAGCGUUAAUCGGAAUUACUGGGCGUAAAGCGCGCGUAGGUGGCUUGAUAAGCCGGUUGUGAAAGCCCCGGGCUCAACCUGGGAACGGCAUCCGGAACUGUCAAGCUAGAGUGAAGGAGAGGAAGGUAGAAUUCCCGGGGUAGCGGUGAAAUGCGUAGAGAUCGGGAGGAAUACCAGUGGCGAAGGCGGCCUUCUGGACUGACACUGCCACUGAGGUGCGAAAGCGUGGGUAGCAAACAGGAUUAGAUACCCGGGUAGUC
rnacentral:rRNA from 1 species